CAAUCUUCUCAGUUAAUAUCUUUCGGGUUCUCUCCAAAGCCUUUUCUUCAUCAUAGAUGAAUUUAGGGAGUUUUCUCAUAAGAUCUUUUCGGUCAGUACCAGCUAAUGCCUUGCUAAUCUGAGGUGCGUAUACGCAUCCAAGUGCACCAACUAUAAGUCCUCCCAAAACAAAGCCACCGACAAAAAUACCAGCGCCGCUUGACCUUCCACCAUCACUAUUUGCAGCCUUAACUGUGAGUGCCCUUUUGGAGGUAGUGAGUUGCACUUUUCCUGGACAAUUCAAACUGAAUGACAACUUGGUGGGCACAGAAUUUUGGAGACAUUUUUCCAGUGGUCCAGGUGAGAGAUGAAGCUCAGGAUUUCUCGUUAGGACCAAAGAAUUUGAGAUAGCUGUCAUUUGUUAUCGCCGGUAGACAGUGCGGUGUGUAGUAGGAAAAUUAGAGGGUCAGUCGAAGGAACUAUAAAUUAAUAGGUGAAGGAUCGAUGG
rnacentral:misc_RNA from 1 species